AAAGAUCGUAAAAUGAGUAUACAAUGAUAAUAAUAAUAAAAAACACACAAAUAACCUACGUUUUUAUAAUAUGAACACGAAUGAUAGUUCCAGUAAAAUAAAAAGCUUGGUAUGGACACGUUUGGGGGAUUGGACACGAUUGGGGGUUUAUUAAAAAAUGGACACGUUUGAGCGUUUAUACAAAUGACAGGCUUUGGCGCCCUUUGACAACUAGACAUGUCUUUGCACUUCAGUGACGUCGAUGUGCACACGUUUGGGGGAAUCGGACACGUUUUGGGGGAAGGACACGUUUC
rnacentral:lncRNA from 1 species